UCACUGAAGAACCAAAGGUACAUGGAAAUGUCACCGAAGAACCAAAGGUACAUGGAAAUGUCACUGAAGAACCAAAGGUCCAUGGAAACGUCACUGAAGAACCGAUGUGAUCUCCAGAUCUGCAAAGAGUACUUCAAAUGGAUUUUCACGGACAGAAAAGAGUGUUAGAGGAACUACAAACAUGCCAUCUUGGGCUUCUUGAUUGCUUCUUCAACAAAAAGCACCAAAUGAUGCUCACUGCUGGAAUAUAAUCAAAUGUCGAUUGCUAUAACCUCACAUUUUAAGAUGUCAGAUUUUCAGCAUGUUACUUUAAGACUAGGUGCAAAAUAAAAUGUGUGCUCUUUCUCCGGAAAUGCGAUGUAAGAUACCACUAAUGCACUCAUGGGGAAACAUUGUAACUCCAUAUUGAUGCAAUGUUGUUGAUUUUUUUUCUUUGUAUUUUUUAAUGAGUUGAUUUUUGGCACAUUUC